AAAGAGGAAACUGUAUCUGUGAUCCCAUCAUCAGUUGCUAUUUCUAUUUGAUACCUGCUAGGAGAAGGGGAAUCAGUUUUCCUUAAUGGCACAGAGGAGCAUUUGAGCUCCAGGCGCCAUGACAAUACUCAUUUGCCACGCAAAGAACUGCUGCAGAAACCGGAAAUCAUGCUGCAGAAACCGGAAGUCAUGCAUAACAAGCCUUUUCCAGGGAAGAUGAAGAGCACACUGAAGAGGAAGAGAAACAUUCGCACUGCUUUUGAAAGAACUGGGCAUCUGAGGAGCAAGUCAUUUCCAUGGGACUGUUAAAUUCCCCUCCAUCUGAGGCUUUUCAUCCUGCCUCGCUUAGUCUCGAUCUCCGAGUAGAGCUGACACACUGGGCCAAGGAAACCCUUUCAAAGACAAGGACGUCGAGCACUAACUAUGGAAUAAAUUCCGAGGGACGGCAAUGAGAAUUGCUCACACUCUCUCAUGUGGGUCAGAAGAUACGGAAACCACAGAGGCAAGCAUCUGAGAUCCUGACUUGGCUUCAGGCUUCUUGCAUUCAUUUACCUUUGGUGUCCUACAAGGUCAUUCUCUGCUACAUAUGCGGCUGAGCCGUGGGUCCCUCUGUGUGUACUCUUUGGUUGGUGGUUUAGUCCCUGGGAGCUCUGGGCGUUCUGGUUGGUUGAUACUGAUGUUCUUCCUAGGGGAUGCAACCCCCCUUCAGCUCCUUCGGUCCUUUCUCUAACUCCUCCAUUGGGGACCCCAU
rnacentral:sRNA from 1 species